rnacentral:rRNA from 1 species
AGUUUGAUCCUGGCUCAGAUUGAACGCUGGCGGCAUGCCUUACACAUGCAAGUCGAACGGUAACAGGUCUUCGGAUGCUGACGAGUGGCGAACGGGUGAGUAAUACAUCGGAACGUGCCCGAUCGUGGGGGAUAACGGAGCGAAAGCUUUGCUAAUACCGCAUACGAUCUACGGAUGAAAGCAGGGGACCGCAAGGCCUUGCGCGGACGGAGCGGCCGAUGGCAGAUUAGGUAGUUGGUGGGAUAAAAGCUUACCAAGCCGACGAUCUGUAGCUGGUCUGAGAGGACGACCAGCCACACUGGGACUGAGGCACGGCCCAGACUCCUACGGGAGGCAGCAGUGGGGAAUUUUGGACAAUGGGCGAAAGCCUGAUCCAGCCAUGCCGCGUGCAGGAUGAAGGCCUUCGGGUUGUAAACUGCUUUUGUACGGAACGAAAAGCUUCUUUCUAAUAAAGAGAGGUCAUGACGGUACCGUAAGAAUAAGCACCGGCUAACUACGUGCCAGCAGCCGCGGUAA